AAUUUAUUUACGUAGCAGUGACUGCUUACAUUCCGUGUUACAAGAAGUUCGCGUUACCUGCGCUAAGGCUGAGUAGCGCUUCGCUUUUGAACCUGUGAAACAUUGUUUUCGCCCUUUUUCGCACUCUCUAUAUUUGUGUCGCUUUUACAUGUUGUUUAUUGAUAUCCAUGUUGUCAUUUGCUUCAUUUUCUAGGUGUGACGUAUGGCGGAAUUACAUCGAAAGGGCAGACCUCGAGGGACUUACACGGGAGCAAAUGUACAACGGCUACCGCCUCUGCUAGGACCACUUCGCCGAAAGUGCCUUCGCAAAUCCUGCCAAAACACGGCUCUUGUGGACGGCUGUUCCCACUGUUGCAGUGGAAGUGGGAUCCCCGAUCGAUGAAGGACCCUCCCUGGCAGAAGCCACGGCUGCUGCGGCUCAAGAACACCCUCGCCAAAAGAGCAUCGCCCAGAUUGCAGGUAUGCACAGGCCGGCUUGUUGAUUUUGGGCAUUAAGGAAGGGGCGCGUAU